rnacentral:rRNA from 1 species
AACGAACGCUGGCGGCGUGCCUAACACAUACAAGUCGUGCGAGAAAGUUCCUUCGGGGGCGAGUAAAGCGGCGCACGGGUGAGUAACACGUAGGUAACCUGCCCCCCAGUCUGGAACAACUAGAGGAAACUCUAGCUAAUGCCGGAUGAGACCACGAUCCCUUCGGGGGUUGCGGCCAAAGAUGGCCUCUACUUGUAAGCUAUCGCUGAGGGAUGGGCCUGCGGGCCAUUAGCUUGUUGGUGAGGUAACGGCUCACCAAGGCUGUGAUGGCUAGCUGGUCUGAGAGGAUGACCAGCCACACUGGGACUGAGACACGGCCCAGACUCCUACGGGAGGCAGCAGUGGGGAAUAUUGCGCAAUGGGCGAAAGCCUG